GGAUGAGCCCGCGGCCUAUCAGCUUGUUGGUGGGGUAAUGGCCUACCAAGGCGGCGACGGGUAGCCGGCCUGAGAGGGUGUACGGCCACAUUGGGACUGAGAUACGGCCCAGACUCCUACGGGAGGCAGCAGUGGGGAAUAUUGCACAAUGGGCGCAAGCCUGAUGCAGCGACGCCGCGUGGGGGAUGAAGGCCUUCGGGUUGUAAACUCCUUUCGCUAGGGACGAAGCUUUGUUGUGACGGUACCUAGAUAAGAAGCACCGGCUAACUACGUGCCAGCAGCCGCGGUAAUACGUAGGGUGCGAGCGUUGUCCGGAAUUACUGGGCGUAAAGGGCUCGUAGGUGGUU
rnacentral:rRNA from 1 species